AUUGAACGCUGGCGGCAAGCUUCACACAUGCAAGUCGAGCGAGCGGCGGACGGGUGAGUAAUGUCUGGGAAACUGCCUGAUGGAGGGGGUUAACUACUGGAAACGGAAGCUAAUACCGCAUACAUUCAGAUGUGCUCAGAUGGGAUUAGCUAGUAGGUGGGGUAAUGGCUCACCUAGGCGACGAUCCCUAGCUGGUCUGGGAGGAUGACCAGACACACUGGAACGUAGACACGGUCCAGCCUCCUACGGGAUGCAGCAGUGGGGAUUAUUGCACAAUGGGCGCAAGCGUGAUGCAGCCAUGGCGAGUGUGUGCAGAAGGCCUUCGGGUUGUAAAGCACUUUCAGCGAGGAGGCGUUACUCGCAGAAGAAGCACCGGCUAACUCCGUGCCAGCAGCCGCGGUAAUAC
rnacentral:rRNA from 1 species